rnacentral:rRNA from 1 species
CCUACGGGUGGCAGCAGUGGGGAAUAUUGCACAAUGGGGGAAACCCUGAUGCGGCGACGCCGCGUGAGUGAAGAAGUAACUCGUUAUGUAAAGCUCUAUCAGCAGGGAAGAAAAUGACGGUACCUGAGGAAUAAGCCACGGCUAACUACGUGCCAGCAGCCGCGGUAAUACGUAGGUUGCAAGCGUUAUACGGAUUUACUGGGUGUAAAGGGCGUGUAGGCGGGAAAGCAAGUCCGAUGUGAAAACCCGGGGCUCAACCUGUGGCCUGCAUUUGAAACUGUUUUUCUUGAGUACUGGAGAGGCAGACGGAAUUCCUAGUGUAGCGGUGAAAUGCGUAGAUAUUAGGAGGAACACCAGUGGCGAAGGCAGUCUGCUGGACAGCAACUGACGCUGAGGCGCGAAAGCGUGGGGAGCAAACAGGAUUAGAUACCCCUGUAGUC